rfam:Gossypium hirsutum cultivar TM-1 chromosome 19, whole genome shotgun sequence
GAAAGCCAUGUGCAAUGAAAAAUGCAAGCAUGGUUUGGGGAGGGAUUUUUUAUUCUUUAACUUUUAAAUUAGUAAAUUAGAAUUUAUUUAAU